rnacentral:rRNA from 1 species
UUUUGUAGAAUGAACCGGCGAGUUACGAUUUGAUGCAAGGUUAAGCAGUAAAUGUGGAGCCGUAGCGAAAGCGAGUCUGAAUAGGGCGUUUAGUAUUUGGUCGUAGACCCGAAACCAGGUGAUCUACCCUUGGUCAGGUUGAAGUUCAGGUAACACUGAAUGGAGGACCGAACCGACUUACGUUGAAAAGUGAGCGGAUGAACUGAGGGUAGCGGAGAAAUUCCAAUCGAACCUGGAGAUAGCUGGUUCUCUCCGAAAUAGCUUUAGGGCUAGCCUCAAGUGAUGAUUAUUGGAGGUAGAGCACUGUUUGGACGAGGGGCCCCUCUCGGGUUACCGAAUUCAGACAAACUCCGAAUGCCAAUUAAUUUAACUUGGGAGUCAGAACAUGGGUGAUAAGGUCCGUGUUCGAAAGGGAAACAGCCCAGACCACCAGCUAAGGUCCCAAAAUAUAUGUUAAGUGGAAAAGGAUGUGGCGUUGCCCAGACAACUAGGAUGUUGGCUUAGAAGCAGCCAUCAUUUAAAGAGUGCGUAAUAGCUCACUAGUCGAGUGACACUGCGCCGAAAAUGUACCGGGGCUAAACAUAUUACCGAAGCUGUGGAUUGUCCUUUGGACAAUGGUAGGAGAGCGUUCUAAGGGCGUUGAAGCAUGAUCGUAAGGACAUGUGGAGCGCUUAGAAGUGAGAAUGCCGGUGUGAGUAGCGAAAGACGGGUGAGAAUCCCGUCCACCGAUUGACUAAGGUUUCCAGAGGAAGGCUCGUCCGCUCUGGGUUAGUCGGGUCCUAAGCUGAGGCCGACAGGCGUAGGCGAUGGAUAACAGGUUGAUAUUCCUGUACCACCUAUA